CUCCACUGAAGUGGCCAGUUAACAUCCUCAGGAAUUGCUUACCUUUUGUUGACCGUGAAUUGAACGUUAACUGUAAUUGUUUUGCCGUCAUAGUGAAAGUAGUAGGGGUUAAUGGUAUUUUGGCAUCUGGGAUGAGGUUUACAGCUGGGUUGGCAUCCUCUUCAUCAAAACCAUGAAAACUUGUCUGGUUUGGGUGUGUGGGCGUUUAGCAGCUUCUCCCCUGGGCUUCAGACGGGGUCAGAAGUGAAUUACGUGUCGGACCAAUUUGCAAAUCGAGCGACCUCCCCUUGCAUGCAAUGAUGUGGUGGUGAUUGGUGAACCUCUCGAUCAUUCUAAUUCAGUGCUCUCUAGAGAGCAAUUUCGUCGAUACGGGAUGGUCCGGAAUCUCCAAAAUCUCCAAUAGCGAAGUCUCCAUCCCAGAACUCUCUUCAUAAUGCUAGUCUCGUUGCCAAAAGGAAAAUGUUUGCUAAGUCCCAAGUUGGAAGGUCCAGUUUCCAGAAGCUUUUGGAGCCAAGGCCCCCACUCAGAGAUCUGCAAUUACUCCUUAUAGAAUUGUUCUUGGUAAUAUAAAAGACAAGCUUAUGAAGACACGAAGACGUUUGGAGCUUCUUCUAGAGGAUCUUCCUUGCGAUUUUAAUCUAUCGGAGUAUUAUGACACAUCAGAUGAACUUAUAGAACCACUGAUGACAUGCCAUGACCCUCUCUGCGCAGACACAAAUGUGCCACAUCUGCAUGCAUACAGACUUCUUAUGUAAUGUUGAAUGACAAGUUGACAACCAUCAUUUUUUUGCAGCAAUCAUGUGGAUCAGGGAUCCUAGCUGAUGGUCGGCUUGAUGAUUUGAUCCAAAGAGUUGCUACCUUUGGGAUGGUAUUAAUGAAAGCUCGACUUGCGUCAGGUGUGCUUUUAUUUUAUUGUAGAAGAAGUUGCUACCCCAGGCUGAGCUUGGCUUCCUCAAGAUAGGAAGCUGCCCCCCAAGAAGAAAGAGCUCUACUGGAAUUGGACAUCUUCGGGCAAUUCCAUGGGUGUUUGCAUGGACUCAAACCAGAUUUGUCUUCCAGCUUGGCUUGGAGUUAAACCCCUUGUUGAUCUUUUUGUGAGAGCAUCAAACACACCAGCCAUAAAGGUGUAUGAGAAGGUGCUAUAUUUUUACACUUAGACUCAUGAAGAUCUAUCAGUAAUUGUCAUCCCUUCCAAAGGUUUCUCUUAGGGUAUGUUUCUGUGGAAUCUGACAAAAGAAGAGGAUUGUUUUCAACACUCAAGUUCAACAAUGCGAUGGUUAGAAGCACAAAAUUGGUUCAUAGUUCAAGUGGAGACUUAGAAUGAUUUAUUGGGAAAUUCUUUACAUUCUUAGAAAGGCUUUUAUUUCGAGCAGUAAAACAUUACAAAAUUGUCAUGACGUCUGGUCGGAAUUUGCUUCCUCAAAAUUUGCUUUUGGAUUGGAGCAGUUUAUCAUACAUCAGAUGCAUCCCAACAUGGAUUGAUUCCAAUUCCUUCAUGA